GACAGAGGGUGCAAACGUUUGUUCGGAAUUACUGGGCGUAAAGCGCGUGUAGGCGGCUUUGCAAGUCGGAUGUGAAAGCCCUCGGCUCAACCGGGGAAGUGCACCCGAAACUGCAAAGCUAGAGUCUCGGAGAGGAUCGUGGAAUUCUCGGUGUAGAGGUGAAAUUCGUAGAUAUCGAGAGGAACACCGGUGGCGAACGGC
rnacentral:rRNA from 1 species